rnacentral:rRNA from 1 species
AGCGGGGGACAACAUUUGGAAACGAAUGCUAAUACCGCAUAACAACUUUAAACACAAGUUUUAAGUUUGAAAGAUGCAAUUGCAUCACUCAAAGAUGAUCCCGCGUUGUAUUAGCUAGUUGGUGAGGUAAAGGCUCACCAAGGCGAUGAUACAUAGCCGACCUGAGAGGGUGAUCGGCCACAUUGGGACUGAGACACGGCCCAAACUCCUACGGGAGGCAGCAGUAGGGAAUCUUCGGCAAUGGACGAAAGUCUGACCGAGCAACGCCGCGUGAGUGAAGAAGGUUUUCGGAUCGUAAAACUCUGUUGGUAGAGAAGAACGUUGGUGAGAGUGGAAAGCUCAUCAAGUGACGGUAACUACCCAGAAAGGGACGGCUAACUACGUGCCAGCAGCCGCGGUAAUACGUAGGUCCCGAGCGUUGUCCGGAUUUAUUGGGCGUAAAGCGAGCGCGGGUGGUUUAUUAAGUCUGGUGUAAAAGGCAGUGGCUCAACCAUUGUAUGCAUUGGAAACUGGUAGACUUGAGUGCAGGAGAGGAGAGUGGAAUUCCAUGUGUAGCGGUGAAAUGCGUAGAUAUAUGGAGGAACACCGGUGGCGAAAGCGGCUCUCUGGCCUGUAACUGACACUGAGGCUCGAAAGCGUGGGGAGCAAACAGGAUUAGAUACCCUGGUAGUCCACGCCGUAAACGAUGAGUGCUAGAUGUAGGGAGCUAUAAGUUCUCUGUAUCGCAGCUAACGCAAUA